GUGGGGGAGGGAGGCAGGCAGGGGGAGGGGGGUACACAUCACCCCAAAACCCUAGCUCCCAGACCUAGCUCGGAGGAAGUCUAGUUUUAGACCGGAGAAACAAAGAAUGGACCAUCGCUGUUGAUCUCUCUCCUCAGUUUGGGACACCGGUCUGUUUGUUUGGUCACUGUCCCCGGGCACACACCCCCCCUUCUCCCCUCCCCCAGCAACCAGUCUGAGAGCCUGGGGCCCUGGGUUGAAGUGGAUGAGAAGGAUCCUUGUGAAGGAUGCUUUUUUGCUUUCAUUAUCCCAGUGGUUCCACGUGAAAGAAAGAAAGGAAUGGAGAUAAUUACACAUCUCACACCCACCAAGGUCUGGGUGAAGUUCAUCCACUCAUCUAAAAAUCAGUGGCUUCAAAGUGGGAAGAGAGAGAGAUGAAAAAAAAAGUUCCCCAUGGAAGUGCAUGGAGAUAGUAGCUUGGUAAGGGGCAACGUUUCUGUGGACGGGUUACUAACGUGCUACGCAUAGUGUCAAGAUAUAGAAAUCACAGACUCAGAAAGCCUUCCUGGAGGAAAAGAAUGCCCCACCACUUUUGCAUUACAAAAGUCACACGGAGCUUCUUCUCUGUCAUCUGACUUUUUGAACUUUCAUAACUUUGGAGAAAAAUUAGAUUCGUGUUUUUGUUAAGGUUAGGGAGUUCUCUGUGCUAAGGAGGAAAGUAUAUUGAGGAUUUAUAUGGCCAGUGGCUUUCCAAGGGUGAGGAUCAAAAGUCCUGAAAUUUUCCCCUGUUCCCUUAAUUGAUGUCCAUUGCAACCAGAUUUUCCCUAUAAGAAAAGUGUUGGGAUCUGAUGGUGAUUUCUCCAUGAUGCAACGGUAUUGUCUCAGAUCUUUCAUCUUAAGAAUUCAAUUCAGUUCCAUAAACUUUUAUUAGGCACUUACUUUGUAUAAGGCACUGUGCUAUUUAUUGAGGACGUCAUAGAUUCAGCUAGGUGGCCAAGAAAAUAGAGCACUUGGCUUGGAGUCAGGAAGAUCUGCAUUCAAAUCAGAUCUCAGGGGAAGUCACUUAACCCUGUUUGCCUCAGUUUCCUCAUCUGGAAAAUGAUCUGGAGAAGGAAACAGCAAACCAAGAAACCCCCCCCCAAAAAAAGGGAGUUUCAAAGAGUUGAACAUGACUGAAAACAACUAAAUAGCCACACAGAUGAAAAAACAAACCAGUCCUUGCCCUCCAGGAAUUUAUAUUUUAAUAGGGAGGAUGUGAGUGUAUACCCCCAAUAAUAUUACAAGUUAGUGCAUGAUAAAUUAAUUCAAAGGAGGAAUCCAAUGAACUCUAAAAUAAUUUGAAGAAAGACAGGAUACUUUCAGCUGGAGAAUGAAGGAAGGCUUCAUGGAAAAAGUGAUAUGUGAACUAUACUUUGCAGGAAGAAAAUGUUAACAGCUAAGAAUGGGAUCCUAGCCUAUUUCUGAAGGCCUGUGGUGUAGUCUUAAAUUCAAGGAAACUGGAGAAUGUAUUAUGAGAUCUGUGAAUAACUAGUAGUCUAGUUUGGCUGAAACAGAGGGAUGAGAAUGAAUUAAGGCUAGAAAUGUAAACUAGAAUUAGACUAAAGAAGGUGUUAAAUGCCAGACUGAGAAAUGUGUAUUUUGUAUUUGUAGUAUAUAAAGUUGCAUUUUAUCCCAACUUGGAAAUAUACAGUCACUGGGGCUGUGACAUGAUCAUACCUGGGAAUUAGAUUGUAUGAGCAAUUAGAAGACAAUUAAUAAGAGGAGGGACAGAGUAGAAGUUUACUACUUUAGUUAAGUAACUAUUACAAUAAGCCAAAUAAGAUAGCUUAAACUAGGAAGGCAGCAGCUGGAUGAGUAGAGAAAGGGUUUUAAGCAAUAUUGUGAAAGAAGAAAUAACUGGAUUGAAAAAAGGGCAGCAGAGUCAAAGGGACGAACCAAAGAAGAAUCUGAGAUUUCAACCCUCCAUAAUGAGUUGAUAUUAGCAGAAAUAGGAAUGUAUGUGGAGAAGGGCCAGGUUUAAAGAAUUUUAAAGUAAGGGACAAGCAACUAGGUGGCUUAGUGGGAAGAAUGCCAAAUCUGGAAUCUGGAGUUCAAAUCCAGCCUCAGACAUUUACUGUUUGACCUAGGGUAAGUCACUUUACCUUUUUCUGCCUCCGUUUUCUCUUCUGUCAAAUGAAUUGGAGAAAGAAAUGGCAAACCAUUUUGCCAAUCCAAUAUCUCUACCAAUCCCAAUGUAACAAGGAAUGUCCUGAGGUCAUCUCCCUUGUUAUUUAAACACUUUUAUAACAUUUCUUAUUAUCUGUCCACCUUAUUAGGUUCAUAGUUUGUUUUUUUUUUUACCAUCUAGCAUAGAGCUCUGUAUUCAGUCUUUCUGACACUUUGCCAGAGAUCACUCUUUCUUCAAAGGAGGGGGAAUACCUCCAAGUAGGGAGGUUAAUCACUCCCACAUUAUCCAAGCACUGAGUAGCAGAAGUUAUAUACAAAGUCCUGACUAGACCUCUGUCAAUCAAUAGCAUCAUUAGGAUGAGCUUCCUAUAGAGUUUUUCAGUUUACAAAACACUUUUGAAUACAUUACCUUAUUUGAUCCUCAUAUCAACCAUGGGAAAUAAAUAAGCAAAGCCUCUAAAUGGUCAAGUUAUUUAAUGCACAAGGUCACAUGACUGGUCAGCAGUAUCAUUUAGAUUAUGCCACACCCAAGGGAGAUGAUUGCUAUCCCAUCAACACUUACUUGAUGUAGAAAAACGCAUAUAUUCCUAGCCCAUUGUUUCUCCUGUCUUCUCUCCCUCUCUUCUCUAACAGAAAUUCUUGUUGUUUAGUCAUGUCCAACUCUUUGUGUCCCCAUUUGAGUUUUCCUUGGCAAAGAUACAGCACAGUGAAUAGAGAGGACCUGGCUUCAAAUGUGGCUUCAGGCACUUUCUAGCUCUGUGACCCUGGGCAAGUCAUUAUACCCCAAUUGCCUAGCCUUUACCUCUCUUCUUGAUUCUAAAAUUGAAGGUUAUAGUUGGGGGGGGGGGGGGAACAGUGAUUUGCCAUUUCUUUCUCCAGCUCAUUUGACAGGUGAGGAAAUUGAGGUAAAAAGUUAAAUGACUUGCCCAGGGUCAAACAGCUAGUAUGUAUCUGAGGCUGGACUUGAACUUAAGACUCUACAUCUGGUGCUCUAUCCACUGUGCUACUUAGCUAUCCUCCCUAAUGGAAAACCUGCAUAUCAAAUAAAGAGCUUAAAUAUUCUCAUAGAAAAGCAAAUUUUCAGUGGUAAAAUCAAGGGAUAGUAGGUCCCUGCUCAUAUCAAAAAAGUAUCUAUUUCCUGGUUGCCUCCUGCCUUAAAAAAAUAACAAUUAACCAAAAAAAAUCAUGGGUUUGGAUGAUCUUUUCCUCUAUGAUUCUUCCUAAAUGAAUUCUUUGAACUGAUGCAGAGUGAAGUGAGCAGAACCAGGAUGACAAAUUAUAUAAUAAAAGCAUUUCUAAAGAUCAACAACUUUGAAAGACAUAAGAAUUCUGAUAAAUGUGACCAACAAAUUACCUAGAACCAAUGAUGUACAAUUCUACCCACCUCCUGACAGGUUAUGGAUGACUCAGGGUACUUUUUUGGACAUGAUCAAUGUGGAAAUAUGUUUUAUUUGUUUAUAUAUAUAUAUAUUUGUUAGAAUUUUUCUUUUUUCCUUUUCAGUGGGAGAGGGAGUGAAAAUAGAUUUUUGUUAAUUGAAAAAAUAUCAAGAAAUUUAAGAAAAACAAAUGGAAAAAAGCAGGCAAAAUGCAGAUGGAAUAACAAAUAUCAGAAAAAAAUAAAGACAUACAAAAAAAGAUGUCUCCCAAAUUGCUAUUCUACCUCUUCCAGGUAGAAAAUCCUUCAGAAAUUACUUGUACAUAUUUUAUAUUUAAUUUUCUGUGUAUAUGUUUUAUUCCCCCCAAUAAAAAAUAAAC